UACGUAGGGGGCUAGCGUUGUCCGGAUUUACUGGGCGUAAAGCGCACGUAGGCGGAAUGUUAAGUCAGGGGUGAAAUCCCGGGGCUCAACCCCGGAACUGCCUUUGAUACUGGCAUUCUCGAGUCCGGAAGAGGUGAGUGGAAUUCCGAGUGUAGAGGUGAAAUUCGUAGAUAUUCGGAGGAACACCAGUGGCGAAGGCGGCUCACUGGUCCGGUACUGACGCUGAGGUGCGAAAGCGUGGGGAGCAAACAGG
rnacentral:rRNA from 1 species